rnacentral:lncRNA from 1 species
UUUCCUAGACAACAUCCUGAAACAUAAGAAUAAGCACAAAAAUGAACAUAUUACAUCAAACGUACCACUGAGAAGAAUGAUAAGUUUAACAGUUUCCCACGUGGGAGGCAUAUUGACGUUACAAUUUUAAGUUAGCAGAACACCAGCUCACAUGGAAACAGUCUCCUCCGUGAAUUCUUUCUUUGGCUGACAGACAUGAGAUGUUAGCUGUCUAAGAAGACCUUCUCACCAACACCUUCUUAGAAGAUAUUGUAAGAUAACAAUCCUUGAGUGGAACCUGAAUUCUUUCUAAAUGCUGCAUGUAGGAAAACAAGAGGCAGUUCACACAACCACUUAACACCUCUUCUUAAAAGUGAAUCCUUGAAGGAGUGGUGUUCAAAUAUUUAAGUACAUUAGAUACUUUAUACACGCCACAUCCAAAACGCUCAGUAUUCCUAAUACAUUUCAUUUUCUCCCCAGUUUUAAUGGUUGAUGCACAAUCACAUUAAUUUCCUAUUAAUUUCUAGGAAUGUGUACACAGUAGCCUUAGGAGAAAGAAGACAACUAUUACUUUACAUUUUUAAUUGUUUUGUUUUCAUGUCCCGAGAGAAAAAUUAAAGUAAGUUAAAAAAUUAACUCAGACACUCUAUUUAUUUUUAGGAAGACAUAUACCCCCCACAGGGAGACUAUUACAUGUUGUAAUAAUGUUCACAAACAGCUACUCUUUAAGUGUAACACUAUUCUAAGCCUC